CAGAUGAAAUCCAUACUUUAUAAGAAGUGAUGUUUAUCUUGCUAUUUCCAAAGGAAUAACUUAAACACUGCAUUCGAAACAACUUUUAUGGUGGUAAUUAUUUUUUCAAAUUCGUUUAAUUAUCUUAAGUAUGCGAUUCAUAUUCUUUGGUGCUUUAUCCAUUUUAAUUUGCAAAGGAAUUAAGCUUCGUACAUUUCAGGGUCAUAAAAAUCGGAAGGAUUUUGCCUAAAUCAAAAGAUUGCUUAAGGAUUAAUGCUUUUUUAAAAGAAUUCUACUGGACACUAUCUUUUACUUUGCUUAUUUUUGGACAUGUUCUAAGUGAUCAACUUUAACAAUGACAGUUUUAUCGACUUGGAAAUUGUGUUUGUUCCUAUCAAUUUCUAUUUUAAUGUUGAUAACAUUCAUUCCUAACGUCCAAUGCACUUGUCAUGCGUUUUGCACUUACGACUCUUGGAUGGAUUGGACUUGCACAUGUAGUAAUUCUACUCAAAAAAGAGAGAGACAUAUGUGUUGUCCAGGAGGACAAACAACAAGAGAGGGGUGUGCAUCUUACUGUAAUAUCCCGUUGUAUUGGCAAGAAGAGGCUCCCUGUGACAAAUGUAAUAAUGGAGGAAUUUACGAUAUAAACCAAAAGAAAUGCAAGUGUCCCCCAACUCACAAAGGAACAUAUUGUUGUGAGCAAGUGAAAUGCAGCGAAAAUCCAUGCAAGCAUGGCUCGUGUAAUGAUACGGUGUCGCCUUUCAUUUGUGAGUGCGACCCUGGUUUCAAAGGAACUAUCUGUGAUAAAGUGUUAAAAAGGUUACCACCAUGGCUUCCAUAUCUUGGGUACUCCAUUAUCAGUGUGGUUGGAAUAUUCUUUUUAAUUUGCAUUUCGUAUGUCUGUGCAAAGUAUUGCGUGAUUAAAAAGCUCAGGAAGCAGCAGAACCAACAUAGUACGCUUAACAAAAGACAAAGGAUCAAAGAAAAUCGGAUUAUGCCAAUUUCACUUGAUUUUUAGAUGUAAAGUUUAUUUGACCAAAAGCUCGUUUUUCUGUCCGGUUUUAUAUUGUUUGGGUUUUUAGGGGGUGUGGUCAUCGUCGCAAAAAUUCACAAUUUCAUUUUUUUAGAACCAAAGUGUCAACUGCAACUAAACGUGGCACAAAGCAUCUUAGGAUAAUGGGGAAAAGUUUAUUCAAAUGAAAGGCCACGCCUUUAUUCAAGAAGGAAUGAAUAGAAAUUCCAUGGCAACUGCAAAGCGGUUUUUUUUAUACUAAAACAACACGAUUAGAUAAAAUUAAAAAAUUUCAAAAUAC